rnacentral:lncRNA from 1 species
GCCCUCGCGCGUCGGCCAGGAACCUCGGCCCCAUGCGGGCGGGCCAGCGCGGCCAGGAGGGCCGGGAAGAGGGGUCCCCGGGGCCCCGGAUGCGCUGAACUCCGGGGAGGGGAUGGGCAGGAGAGAGAGCACACUCCUGGAGCCGCGACGUCCAAACCCGGACGCACUUGAACCCGCAGCGAGGCCCGUGGCUCGCGGCCUUCGGAGAGCACCCGCGCCCCGCGCAGACCGGACGCCGGCCUUGCCCGAUCCUCGGCAUCCUUCGGCGGGGCGGCCAGUCCCAGGGCGCUCGCUGAGGGCCACACCCUGGCCCCAGAGUUUAGCACCGCCGCGGGCAGGGCGCUCCGCUCCCGGACCCCGAAUCUGAAAGCGGAGACCAAGGGCUGCCUGCGGCAAAGCUCGACAUACACUUGAUUUUCUUCCGAUUUGGAGAAAAUGUCACGGGCGAGAGCAAAAAAAAAAAAAAAAAAAAAAAAAAAAACCCUAACUGUAAAUAUUAUUUGGAGGUGGGCGAGGGCGCGGCGUGCGCGCGGCGGCGGGUGGCGGGCGGCGCGGGCGCCCUUGCGGGGAUUCCCGGUCUCUCAGCGCGCCCUAGUGGACGCCCUGCCUUUCGCUGGCUCCCCGUGCUCGUUACAAUCUGCAAUAUAUUAUUUCUUCCGAAGUAUUGACAAUGUGUGAGACUCCAGUAACCCCGGAGCUCUCGUCUGUAAUCAGCACAUUUAUCCACAUUUAAGGGGGAAAAUCCGAAUUAAAUCCCCGUGACCCUGAUUGGGUUACAGUGUCAUUUUCCCUGGAUCCUCUUUUAAAUCCACUCCACACUGCUUCUCUGUCUAUUACAUGCUAAUUUAAUUUUACUGUGGAAGAUAUUUUCAGGAUUUGCUGAGGACAGUAAAUUUUGUAGUUUAUGUUAUUUCACUUUUUAUGACUUUUUAACACUUAAUAAAAUUUUAUUAGAGCACUUUUGUGUUUACAAGGCCACAAAACUCUUGGCAGGUUGUCAGAAGUCCUUUUUAUUAUGAUCCUACUGAUAUACUGCGAGUAAUGAAAUAAUCAUGUCCAGAAAUGUAUCAAAGGCCAGAGGGAUUAUCCCACUUAAUAGCUCCACAGAUGCGCCCAGAAGAAUGUGGACGCGCGACAGGACGGGCUGAAAGGCUGCAGGAGGAAGCAGGCAGCCCCGGCUCCUGGCUUUACCAUUUCGGUUGCUUUCCUAAAAGGCUACAUGCAGGGUCAUGUGACUUUCCGCGGUCUCAAUAAAAAAAAAAAAAAAAAAAAAAAAAAAGAAUUUAUUCUAUUGCAAAAUGUGCUUUUCUUUUUAUACUCCUUGUGUGGGCAUUUAAGACUGUUCUAGUGGCAGUGGGGUUGGCUGUACAUAUCCAUAUACGUGAUCAUUUAACACACGGGUGUUAAGUUCAUUCUUGCUGCAAAAGAAGGCCAUUGUACCUCCUGACCCUGAAAGCAAGAUGAAGUCACUGAGACACCAAAGGUUAAUUGCUUGCCCAAAGCCAUGUAGCAACUUGGUUGAAGUUACUUUAGUGUCGAAAGCUCCACAUAUGUGCUUUUCGCAAAAUCAAUAGUCACCCCAUGCAAACGAAGAGAUGGUAAUUAGAGAUGGGACAGACCCCAACAUAUCCUUCAUUUGAAGAUAGAAUAAAUUCAGCAAGAUACCUAAUUAUUAUCAUCAUCUUUCACAAAAACAUAUGUGAUUUUUCCCCCCUACCCAAAUGUUUUAGUGAAAACUGCAACUGUGCAUUAAAAGGCAGUUUUGCAUGCAUAUAUUCAGAGAACAAUAUGGAGAAUCUAUCCCUUGGGAUAAAAAAAAAAACACCCAGCAACAACAAACUUGAAAACAGAUGGUUCUGAUACAGUCUGAUAAGAAUGUAAACAAGAAAAUCUUUGUUGACUUAUUUCAUAGUAAUCAGUAAUAAUUAGUUAUUGUCUAGAGGUGAGUUACAAAUUUCACAAGCAUGGCCACGAACAGCCUCUGAAAAGUGAAGCUAAAUUUGUGACAUCAGUGAGGAAUUACUGACCCCUGCUGAACCCUCCUUAUUAACAUUUUUCUUGAUUGACAUAAAGGAAUGAAACCCUGGAAGAGGAUAAUUUCUGCAUUCUUUGUUUUUUCUUUUGUCAUCAUUUGAUUUAGAGAUAUUAGACCCCUCUGACUAAUCCAUGAAUUUUAAGUUCUUUGAAAAAGAACUUAAAUUUUCUCUACAGCUUAGAGAACUAAAGCUCUCUUUCCUUCCGUUUUUCCUUCCUUCCUUCCUUCCUUCCUUCCUUCCUUCCUUCCUUUCUUCCUUUUUUCUUCCCUCCCUCCCUUCUUUCCUUCCUUCCUUCCUUCCUUCCUUCCUUCCUUCCUUCCUUCCUUCCUUCCUUCCUUCCUUCCUUCAUGGGGUCCACAGUUUAGUUGGAGAGGCAAGUUUGUAAAAAAAUAACUAUCACCCAGUUUGUUAAGAAGUGGGCAAGGGCUGGAUGCCAUGGUUCAUGUCUGUAAUCCCAGCACUUUUCAGAGGCCAAGGAUGAGGAGGAUCACUUGAGCCCAGAAGUUUGAGACCAGCCUGGGCAACAAAAUGAGACUCCAUCUCUACAAAAAAAUUAAAAAAAGAUUAGCUAGGUUUGAUGGUGUAUGUCUGUGGUCCCAAAUACGUGGAAGGCUGAAGCAGGAGGAUCGCUUGAGCCCAGGAGAUCAAGGCUGAAGUGAGUUAUGAUUGCACCACUGCACUCCAGCCUGAACAACAGAGCAAAACUCUGUCUCAGGAGGAGGAGGAGGAGGAGGAGGGGAAAGGGUGGGAGAGGGGGAGGGAGGAUGAGGGGGAGUGAAACACAGAGGGAGGAGGAGUGCCAGUGAAACACAGAGAAAAAUGUAGAAGCUAGAAAAAUGUAGAAGAUAGAAAGGGAGGAGGAGGAGGGAGGAAGGGAGGAAGGGAGAAGGAAGAGAGAAGGAGAAGGAAGGAAGAAGAAGAAAGAAGUGGGAAAGAUGGCAUGGAGAGGAGUCAGGAGAAGGACUGAGUCCUUGCAGAGGAGAUAUUAGACCAGGUAUUAUGUAGUGCUAUUACCAAGUCCUGACUGCAGAGAUCACCAGGCUGUUGACUAUGACAUCCUGAGUGAAUAAUGAAAAUUUAAACUGCUGGCUAAUUCUUUGGAUCAGGUGAUUGUACACCAUCAGUUGUGUGGGUAGCAUGCAGACAAGAUCAUGGUAUCCUGCCAUGAUCCAAAAGUUUGGAGAGGUGCCCUUCUUUUACAAUACUUGUAAUAGAAAACUUAGGCUGUAUUCCUCCAUGAUAACGUGCCUUUGGAAAGAGUAGUCCCUUCUUUAAUAUGUAAUUCAGCCAUCUGAAAAUACUUGUUAUUAAAAUAAAAUAAUACAAAUAGUCUAUGACAAAUAGUCUAGGCAGUGCAUCCUGGAAACCCUUGGCUUUUAUUCAACAAUAUUCAAGAGCUGUUUAGUCAGUGCUUGUAACUUGUCAGACACUACUAGGCACGUGAAUUAAGAGAAUGAAUGCUCUAUGUAACUUCUCCUUUAUAGAACACAAAAUCUGGUUGGGAAGGACAAUAUCAAACAGAAAAUUACCCAAAUUGUUUAUUAAUGAAAAUGUGAUAAGUGCUAUUGGAAGCAAUAGAUGCUGUUGUUUUGUCUACCCUGAUUCUAUUCUUCCGGUGACAGCAUCUUGAUUUUGUUUUGAGAACUAUCCUUCACCAUUGCAUGCAACCUUGAUGAGACUCUUAGUCGAGGGGCACUGCCCCUACCUAGUUUGUGAUUCAAGCUGGGCCAGUAAGAUGCCCUUUUCCAGUAAUGAGUGCACUCUCUCGCUCACUCGCUCUCUCUCUCUCUCUAGUUUAAUAGUAUAAAGAUCUUCAAAGUUUGUAUUUACGUUGGUCAAAAGUAAUUGCGUUUUUUACCAUUGCUUUUAAUGUUUAAUCCUUAGCUUUUCCUUUGAGUUGAGAGUGACCCUUAUAUCCUUCCAACAAAUUUCUUAAGUUAAUCUGUUAAAUUAACUGCUUGUAACCAGUUGUAGUAUUUAUAGCACUGCCUAAAAAUCCAGGACUCAAAUAACAGGUAAACUAAAUUGUGGCAUGAUUUUGAGAGUUUGUUAGAGUUUAAGAGAAUGUAUUUUACUGACUGUGAUGCUUAGAACAUUCUAUUUUGAAUAGCAUGAGUUGGUGACAGAGGAUUAAUUUUCUUCCUGUAUCUGUAAUAAAUAACAUUUCCAUAAUAUCAGUAGUCAUAAUAUCUAUAAAACAAAAUAUAAAUAUUAUAAACUUUGACAGUAUAGAGCUAUACCCUGACAGAAGUCCAGAGAUGAUGAGGUAUGUUAACUUUCUUAUCUGAGAGUAUUAAGGUCAAUAACUCUUUUCUAAAGCUGCUAGAUCCAGAAAUGAAUACAUCUAUCCAACUGAAGAACUAAAAAAUCAUGAGUUAGCCCAAAUUGGGGAGCAGGUGGGGAGGGAAGGAAGGCAUAUAAAUGAAUGAAAUUCUUCAUCUUUCAUGCAGAGAAGUCAGCAGGUACUGGCUACCUAAGACUGAAAAAUCAAGAAAGAGAGAUGCAGGCAUAUUAUUUAUUUGGAGUUAAAAGUAGAAACCACUGGAAGAAAUAAAAUGUAAGUUUAUUAAUAAUGACUUCCUUUGGAGAAUAGAUGGUAGGAGAAGGGUCUAGAUAGAGGGUAUAAUUUGACACAAACUUGGCUGCAGAAGAUCUGGCAUUCCAGAAAUAUAUGCGUCAUUAACCUAGUGAUGGCAUUAAGAAAGCGAUAUUAUCCCGGGCUGUGUUAAGACAAGUAUUAUUUGCAGCUAGGAAAUAACCCUUGUGUCAAAUUUAUUGUAGGUUGGGCUUUUAUUUGAAUAUUACACUUUGGGUCUGUAACUUAAAACAUAUGCAGGAAAAUUGCAUAGAAUCCACGUAUAGAAGAGGAAAAUGAUGACAGGGAUUGGAGACUAUGUACACAAGGAAAGGAGGUGGGUUGUUUAUUCUGGAGAAGAGAAGGCUGAAGGGAGACAAAAUUAACAACCUAUGGGCAGUGAGGUGGAACUCUGCAGAACACCAGUCAACCUUCUCCAUCUCACUGGACUGAACAGAAGAAAAUGGGUUUAGACUGCAUCAGGAGAAAAUGUGUUUUUAAGACACAGGAAGACUUGAUGACCUGUGGUUGUGACUGAACGUGGGAACAGGAUGCCCUAAGAACUUUUGGAGUACUUUAGAAAUAAGAUAGAAAUAUUCAUUUUCAAAAUAAGGGUUUGUAUUAGACUUGAGGUCCCUUUAGAUACAGUAACCACAUUCUAUAGUUGGAUGUCUGUGAACUUACAUAUGGAGAAAGGUUAAUGAUCAAGUGGUCUAAAUAGUCUCACCUUGGCUGUGAUUCCCAGGUAAUAUCUCAUUAGGGAAAAAAAAUCAAUAUUCACAUUUUUUUUCUUUAAAGUACUGUGCUAUCUACUGGUUCUUUUAAAAUAUAUAUGCAUGCACAUAUAUAUAUAUAACUGUGUAUCAUAUUUUAAGGGAAAUUCAUAUAGUCUUAGGAGCAAUAGUUAUCAUAUUCAAAGUUUGUACCAUUAAAAUAUUUAUGGUUUAUUUUUCUAACAAAAGCAAUAAGAUUUUGAUGCUGAAAAUCUUCAAAAACACAAAAAGCACAGGAAAUACCUUUUUUUUCAUUAAAAUGUGAGCAAGCAAAAAAAAAACAUACAAACAAAUUUGGUCCUGUCUUAUCAUGACUGCUGCUAAGGCGGUCCAGCUGGGUUUCCCUGUAGCCAGAAUCUGGUCCCCUAUGCUCAUCCUUUCAAGAAGGAAGUGUGAGUGCCUGAUUAGCUGUGUCUUUAUCUUUCCUCCUCACUGCAAUUGGAUCGCACUUACCCAGUCUCUCACACUUAUGUAUUGAAACAAUUAUUAGAAAUGUGGUGAUGGAGUAUUGACUUACCUGGCACCUAAGUCGAGGUUAAUCCCUUUUGAAAGCUGGUUGUAUAAUCUGUGCCUGGGCAGCUGUAGCCCUGGCAAGUUUAGUUAAGACACUAAAAUGAACAUCUGGAUGUUGGUUCAGGCAUUUGUAUUCAACACCUGGAUAGGAUUCUUCAACUUUGGUCUUUGGGUCUGAAGAAAACCCCUAUCUACGUAAAGCUCGUGGUUGCUUGAGAUUUGGUGUGGGAGGGCAGAAAGGGAGGAGUGAAGGGAAUGACUAUUGGUUCCUUAACCAAUAGAGGCUGCCACAACAGGAUUCCUGAGCUAAAGGAAGUUUGAAAAUUUCAGACCAUGCUGAUCGCAGGUGAUAGACACCUUGCGGGCCAACUCUUCCUAUCCAUGCAUACACUUGAGUGAUGGACAGACAUACCUCAUUUUAUUGCACUUUGCUUUGUUGUGCUUCACAGAUUUUUUUUAUGGUAUCUGUUAUGGUGAUCUUGUGAUCAGUGGGUCUUUGAUGUUUCUAUUGUAGUUAUUUUGGGGCACCACUAACUGUGCCCAUAUGAAAUGGCAAGCUUAACUCUUAAGUGUUGGGUGUGUUGUAACAAUAUAUUGUAUGUUUUGAAGUAGCUAGAAGAGAGGACUCGAGAUGUUGCCAACACAUAGAAAGGAUAAAUACUUGAGGUGAUGUGAUGGAGACCCUAAAUACCUGACUUGAUCAUUCAUUAUAUUAUACAUACUAUGCACAUAACGAAAUAUGAAAUACCACACAUACCCCAUAAAUAUGUACAAAUACUAUGUAUCAAUAAAAAAAAAAAUGUGAUUAUUCAAAAGUAGGUCCAGCCUCAGGCAUGGUUAAUCGGGCUCCAGCUCCUUUGCUCUGAGGUUCUCUUUAUUCUCUUUAUUCUUCGCUCUUCCACAUAUCAGCCUCAUUUUCAGGCUGACUCUUCUCAUGGUCACAAGAAAGCUGCUGUAAACUCUGGGGCUGCAGCUUCCCCAUUCACCUACAGGAUAGAAACUGCUGGUUCCCACAAUCAGAGAACAAGUUCCUGAGGUUUGCUCUGACCGGACUGAUGCAAACUGCAAACCAAGCACAGCGGCAGGUGGGAUAAGACGAUGAAGAUUGCCUUAGACUAGCAGGGCCCUCCUCUGAAACUGAUGACGGGGUCAGUCUCACCUAAACCCCAUGACUGCUGUACAACAAAGGAAAAUCUGGAAUUAAUAAUAGGGUGGAGGGAGAAUGGAUCCUGGGAGAACAACCAAGAAAUGUCCACAGUCUUUUGGGCUCUGGGUAAGGCUUCCUGACUGGGAAGUCCCUGGGAAGGUAGAAUGCUUCUUAACGAUGGAGACAGAAGAUUCCCAUCAGACCGGUCAGGUGUCAGGGGCUGGGUGUCAGACAAUUUGAUUAAAGAAAAUAAAUAAAUGGGUAGUUCUUGUGAAAAAAAUGUUGUGUGUAUUCUGACUGCUCCACUGAUUGGCCCGUUCUCCAGUCCCUCUCCCUCUACUGGAGCCUCCCUAUUCCCUGAGAUACAACAAUAUUCAAAUUAGGCUAAUUAAUGACCUACAGUGGCCUCUAAGUGUUAAAGUGAAAGGAAGAGUCACAUGUUCCUCCCUUUAAAUCAAAAGCUAGAAAUGAUUAGUGAGGAAGCCAUGUUGAAAGUUGAGACAGGCCAAAAGCUAGGCCUCUUGUGCCAAACAGUUAGCCAAGUUGUGGAUGCAAAGGAAAAGUUCUUGAAGGACGUGAAAAGUGCUACUCUAGUGAACACAUGAAUGAUAAGAAAAUGAAACAGCCUUAUUGCUGAUAGGGGAAAGUUUGAGUGGUCUGGGUAGAAGAUCACUUCAGCCACAACAUUCCCUUAAGCCAAAGUCUAAUCCAGAACAAGGCCCUAACUGUCUUUAAUUCUGUGAAGAGCAUGUGUAGUGCAUGCUACAGAGAAAUCUUUCAUGAAAGAGUCAAUGGAUAUGGCAAACUUCAUUGCUGUCUUAUUUUAAGAAAUUGCCACAGCCACCCCAGCCUUCAAAAUCCACCACCCUGGUUAGUCAGCAGCCAUCAACAUCAAGGCAAGACCCUUCAAUGGCAAAAAGAUUACAACUCACUGAAGGCUCAGAUGAUUGUUAGCUUUUUUUUUUUUAAUUUUAGCAAUAAAGUAUUUUUAAAUUAAGGUGUGUAUGUUGUGCUAUUAGACAUAAUGCUAUUGCAUACUUAGUAGACCACAGAAGAGUAUAAAUAUAACUUUUAUGUGUUUGGGAAACCAAAAAAUGUGUGUGAUUUGUGUUAUUGCAGUGGCCUAGUACCCAAUCCACAAUACCGCCUAUGCAUGUCUGCAUUCCUCUCAUCUCCUAUCAGUGCACUUCUCACUCUAGCCAGCACCUCUUUCCAUUCUUCUUGAACCCUUGCGUCAGAAUUAUGCUCUGGUUCUCUUAAUUUUCCCUGGAAAAGAGACGCUUUCUCUGUAACUCUCCUAUGAAUCAAAUGGCGAUAAGGAAGAGGUAGGAGCUGUGGCUUUCAUUUAUUUCGCUGCUACUCCAACAUGCUUAAAUUUUUAACCCUUCUGCCCACUCACUAUUUGCUGGUUACAGAGGUAGAACGCACAUCUGUUCUGCGCAAACACAUGAAUACACAUCAUAUAGUCACUCCCCAGCUCUGCAUACUGAGCUCAAAGAAUUUCAGAGCUAGAAGGAAGCAAUACAAUUUUAAGCUUUUAAUUUGUAGUUGAAAAAUCAAGACCCAGAAAGACUGGAUGUAUUGCCCAAGACCAUAUAGCUACUUACUGCAGAUCUAAGACUAGACCCCAGGUCAUUUAUUUCCUAGGAUCCUGGUGCUUCCUCCAGAAAGGAUGGUCCGAGACGCCAACAGCAGCUGGAUGUUCUCAUCAGUCCUCCCUGUUCUGUUCUGCUCUGAAGUUGUCAGAGGCAUGGAAGUAUUCCCUGAUGAGCCACUGGUUCCCACAGUUGAUAGUCUAAUAUUUAAGAAAAGCCACUAUUAUGAGGUCUUUCCUGUAACUUAGCAUGGUUACUAAAUAGACCUGUAGCACUAAUAUUUACAUAGUAACCAGUGGCUUACAGAAGAAAGUAUAUGCAGACAGAAGUUACUUUUUUAUGACACCAGUUAAUUCUGUCUCUCAUUUUAGUUUUUAAAAAUCUCAAAAAGCAAAUGAUUCUUGCUCAUUUAGUUUCAGUUUUCUUGUCUAUAAAAUAAAGCAAUAUGAGAUGGUCUUUAAGAUCCUUUCAAAACCCCAAAAACGUGGAUAUCUACAUUUGGAUUUUCUGAAGAGCUAAGAUUUGGGUACUUUACCUUAAUUUUGAAUACUUCAUAAUGAAGCCUUUCUAAAGUAUUCUCCUUCACCUGCUGUCAUACACAGUGUAGGCAAAACACUGUGAAUCUUUUCUUGGUGGGCCAGGAUCAGGUGUAUGGGAACACCCGUGGGGCUGAAUUCUGCACCAGUGGCGAUGUCCUCAGGGAUUAAAACAACAUUCAGACCACUGGCUUUUUGAGUUAUUGUAUCAGAAGUGAUAUAUUCCGAAAAAGCAGAACAACAACAAGCAGAUAAGUAAGAUAAGUGAAAAAGGCUCAAAGGCCGCUAAUGAGUGGGAAAAUUGGCCAGUGGCUAAAAGCCAAGUGCCUUCUUGCAACUAAAAUGUCUUCAUUAUUUUUUCUGCCACUGAAAAAGGUAGAACAGAACAUCUAUACUUACCUCCUGAGCAGCUUUCUGACUGGAAGGAACAUGAAGAGGCAGACACAUGUGAGCUUUAGAGG